UUGCUUGCUUCAGCAGCACAUAUAUUAAAAUUGAAUAAUACAGAGAUUAGCAUGGCCCCUGUGCAAGGAUGACAUGCAAAUUUGUGAAGCAUAUUAAAAUGCU
ensembl:snRNA U6 U6 spliceosomal RNA